rnacentral:lncRNA from 1 species
CCCAGCUCUAAUAGUAAUUUGCUCUGGCAUAAGGAUCUUUGGAGGCACUGUGACAGUUGGAGGAGGUUUUCCAGACACAUAGGCGAUGAUCCGGAUCACCCCUCCGGCGUGGACCACAAUUCUGUCUCUGACACUGGCAUCUAGCUGAAGGUCAGGUGGCACUGGAACACAGUUGAAAAUUACAAAUGUGGUUUUCGUUCCCAAUCCAAAACACAAAUAUGGAUAAAAUAAUAGAAGGGUAAAUAAUUACCAAUUCUGUCCUUCAUUUCAAUGACAUCUGUGACUUCUCCAGGUUCUCCAAUGCCGGCAAUGUUGACUGCUCUAACUCUGAAUUUGUAGAAAG